rnacentral:rRNA from 1 species
UGAAGAGAGCUUGCUCUCUGAUUCAGCGGCGGACGGGUGAGUAAUGCCUAGGAAUCUGCCUGGUAGUGGGGGACAACGUCUCGAAAGGGACGCUAAUACCGCAUACGUCCUACGGGAGAAAGCAGGGGACCUUCGGGCCUUGCGCUAUCAGAUGAGCCUAGGUCGGAUUAGCUAGUUGGUGAGGUAAUGGCUCACCAAGGCGACGAUCCGUAACUGGUCUGAGAGGAUGAUCAGUCACACUGGAACUGAGACACGGUCCAGACUCCUACGGGAGGCAGCAGUGGGGAAUAUUGGACAAUGGGCGAAAGCCUGAUCCAGCCAUGCCGCGUGUGUGAAGAAGGUCUUCGGAUUGUAAAGCACUUUAAGUUGGGAGGAAGGGCAGUAAGCGAAUACCUUGCUGUUUUGACGUUACCGACAGAAUAAGCACCGGCUAACUCUGUGCCAGCAGCCGCGGUAAUACAGAGGGUGCAAGCGUUAAUCGGAAUUACUGGGCGUAAAGCGCGCGUAGGUGGUUUGUUAAGUUGAAUGUGAAAUCCCCGGGCUCAACCUGGGAACUGCAUCCAAAACUGGCAAGCUAGAGUAGGGCAGAGGGUGGUGGAAUUUCCUGUGUAGCGGUGAAAUGCGUAGAUAUAGGAAGGAACACCAGUGGCGAAGGCGACCACCUGG